rnacentral:rRNA from 1 species
GACGUAGGGCGCGAGCGUUGUCCGGAUUUAUUGGGCGUAAAGAGCUCGUAGGCGGCUCGUUGCGUCAACCGUGAAAACCCGGGGCUUAACUUCGGGCUUGCGGUUGAUACGGGCGGGCUGGAGUUCGGUAGGGGAGACUGGAAUUCCUGGUGUAGCGGUGAAAUGCGCAGAUAUCAGGAGGAACACCGGUGGCGAAGGCGGAUCUCUGGGCCUGUCCUGACGCUGAGGCGCGAAAGCUAGGGGAGCGAACAGG